rnacentral:rRNA from 1 species
UACAGAGGGGGCGAGCGUUAUUCGGAAUUAUUGGGCGUAAAGGGCGCGUAGGCGGCCUGGCAAGUGGAAGGUGAAAUCCCUCGGCUUAACCGAGGAACUGCCCUCCAAACUGCUUGGCUUGAGUCCGGGAGAGGUGAGUGGAAUUCCCAGUGUAGCGGUGAAAUGCGUAGAUAUUGGGAGGAACACCAGUGGCGAAGGCGGCUCGCUGGGCCGGACCUGACGCUGAGACGCGAAAGCGUGGGGAGCGAACAGG